CACUGCCAGCUCCUCCGUGAACCAGGGAGCCGAAGUGACUCUUCGCAAUGAGAGGGGACGUUCGGGGGCGAUCAUGUCAAUUGCCCUGGACAUCUCGCUAUUGUAGCGAUCUACCAAGGCAUCGACAGGAUCGUCAGCCUCCAUGACAGGAAGAUCCCCAAGAGACCUCAAGAAUCCAUCUGGAUCCAUCAGUCUCCUGGGGUGGACCAUCUUAAUGGGUCCACCACCCCUGCGGAGGUUUGAGGUCACAGUGAGUCUUAAACUGAUCAGGUGGUGAUCGGACCAUGACAACGGAAGAAUAUUUUGCUCUUCCACUCCGACCUCACCAUCUGCCGCAACAAAAACCAGGUCAAGUGUGUGUCCAGCUUGAUGAGUGGGACCAGAUAUCACUUGGGACAGUCCCAUGGUCGUCAUGGCGGCCAUGAAGUCUUCAGCUGCACCAGUUAAUGUGGCCUCGGCAUGAAUGUUAAAGUCCCCCAGCACUACCAGCCGCUGAGAGACCAAAGCCGUACCAGAGAUCACCUCUGCCAGCUUGGGCAGGGAGACUGCCGUGUCGCGGGGUGGACGGUACACCAGCAGAAUCCCCAAACUGUCCCGGGUACCCACCUUAAGAUGGACACACUCAAAACCUGCAGAUUGCGGGAUGGUGCACCUGACCAGGGAGAUUGUCAAUAAUAAUAAUAAUAAUAAUAAUAAUAAUAAUAAUAAUAAUAAUAAUAAAUCCCUUACAAUAUCCAAGAUGGCUCACUGCUACAGAAUCUUGGGAGCUUUAGUUUGGUAUGGUACCAUUAUUGGCAGAGAAAGCUAAGCUGUAGGAGUUGAAAUCCAAUCAUUUAUCCUCCCUAUAGAAUCAAUUUUAUAUGCAUUUUUAGCUACAGAAAAACUAAAAUCAGGACAGUAAAAGAACAACACCCAGAAAAUGGGAAUUCCAGAGAGGAAACAAUCAGGGCCAGCUAAUACCUCCCAACAAAGGAUUCCCCCAGGUAGGAAGCAGCCAGGAAACAAUCAGGGCCAGCUAAUACCUCCCAACAAAGGAUUCCCCCAGGUAGGAAGCAGCCAGGCUUUGAAGCUGCAAGGCUAUUCAAUGCUAAUCAAGGUGACCAAUUGCAACAUUCACACUUGCCUCCCACAGACAAGAGUUCUUUCUCCCACCCUGGACCUUCCACAGAUAUAUAAACCCCACUUGCCUAGCUUCGCACAGACGUCAAAACCUCACCGCUGGGCCCCUCUCUGUCUCUCUCGGUCUCUCCAUUCCCGGCUCCAUCCGCCGCCUUCCCGCCUCACAGAGAGACACCAGGCCUGA
rnacentral:lncRNA from 1 species